rnacentral:rRNA from 1 species
UACGUAGGGUGCAAGCGUUAAUCGGAAUUACUGGGCGUAAAGCGUGCGCAGGCGGUUAUGUAAGACAGUUGUGAAAUCCCCGGGCUCAACCUGGGAACUGCAUCUGUGACUGCAUAGCUAGAGUACGGUAAAGGGGGAUGGAAUUCCGCGUGUAGCAGUGGAAUGCGUAGAUAUGCGGAGGAACACCGAUGGCGAAGGCAAUCCCCUGGACCUGUACUGACGCUCAUGCACGAAAGCGUGGGGAGCAAACAGG